CCAGAUGUGAAGCAGCUUCUUGAUCUUGUGGAGAGUCCAGACUGUAGACUGGAGACUCUGAGGUGGAAGUUUACAUAAACAGGACGGUUUGUGAGAUGAGAGAGGAUGAGCUGAGUCCUGAUGAUCCAGAGGUUGAAUCAGCAGCAGCUUGUGUGUAGAGAGACUCUGACUGGACCAUGUUACUGGGAGGUGGAGUCAAGAGGAGAGUUUCAUCCACAUGUUUCUCAUUUAACAUCAUCAACAGAGCUGCAAUCAAUCUAUUCUAACAGAACCAACAAAUAAAUAAAUAAAUGAUUCAGACACAUUAAAACCAACAUAUUCUAUGUAAAUCUAAAGUUCCGGCAUCAAUAAUCCUUAUUCCUCUUGUUUUUUUGUUGCUGAUUGUGUAUAUAUUUGUCCCAUCUGUAUUGUAAUUUGUGUCAUGUGGUUGUCAUUUUACAGUGUAUCUUUGUUGUCAUUUGGUUGUAAAGUAAAAUAUCUCCUGGUUGUAAUUUUUA